UAGCUCAGUUGGAUAGAGCAACGGCCUUCUAAGCCGUAGGUCAUAGGUUCGAAUC
rnacentral:tRNA from 1 species